rnacentral:rRNA from 1 species
AUUGAACGCUAGCGGGAUGCUUUACACAUGCAAGUCGAACGGCAGCGCGGACUUCGGUCUGGCGGCGAGUGGCGCACGGGUGAGUAAUGUAUCGGAACGUGCCCAGUAGCGGGGGAUAACUACGCGAAAGCGUAGCUAAUACCGCAUACGCCCUACGGGGGAAACCAGGGGAUCGUAAGACCUUGCACUAUUGGAGCGGCCGAUAUCGGAUUAGCUAGUUGGUGAGGUAACGGCUCACCAAGGCGACGAUCCGUAGCUGGUUUGAGAGGACGACCAGCCACACUGGGAGUGAGACACGGCCCAGACUCCUACGGGAGGCAGCAGUGGGGAAUUUUGGACAAUGGGGGCAACCCUGAUCCAGCCAUCCCGCGUGUGCGAUGAAGGCCUUCGGGUUGUAAAGCACUUUUGGCAGGAAAGAAACGUCGCGGGCUAAUACCCCGUGGAACUGACGGUACCUGCAGAAUAAGCACCGGCUAACUACGUG